GCACUGUUGACGAAUCCAAAAUAGGACGAAACAGCUGUCCAGUGC
rfam:Echinostoma caproni strain Egypt genome assembly, scaffold: ECPE_scaffold0000309